CCUGUGAUGGCAGGAAGUGAUGUCACUCUGCGCUGCAGAAGUAAAGAUCUGUCCACACUUGAAGCUUUUUUUUUCUGGGAUGGUUCUAACAUUGGAUCUGGACCUGGACAGUUGAACAUCAGUAACAUCGAUAUGUCUAAUGAAGGUCUUUACUGGUGUUAUAUCGAUCAGACUGCUGUAUCUCCUCGGAGCAGGCUGAGGGUCCGAGGUCCUACUGCCCAUCGCACUGCCCCUCCUUCUCCUCCUCCUCUUUCUCCUCUCCUUCUGCUCCUCCUUCUGCUCCUCCUCUAGUCUCCCCCACUGCCACCCCUCCAGUUGGAGCAGCUGUGGGUUCUCUGGUACCUCUGGUUCUUCUGGUUCUGGUCCUGGUUGGGGUUCUGUUGCUCCACAGGAAUCUAACAGGUCUGGCUGUGCUGACUGCUGCAGGUCUGGCUGUGCUGACUGUUGCAGGUGCGGCUGUGUUGCUGACUGGACUGCUUGUUUCUGCAGACUCCUCUCUGUCUGUGCUCAGACUCUGCUGCCAUCUAGUGGUCUUCUGUCCAUACUGCGUCUCUACUGGUCUGAUGCUGUCCAUCUGCUGCAGCAGGAAGACAGGAAACAAACCAGCCGUCUCCAUGGAGAUGACCCAGCGGGUUGGAGGAAGUGAUAAAUUGGAUGGAGAGUGUGAUGACAUCACUGCUGAUGUCACCACUGAGCAUGACUGAUCUGAAGUUAGCUCCUGGAUCAGUUUGAAUGAUAACUGUCUAACUCAUGAUAAUCUUUUCUUCUUCAGUUUCUUUAUUUUUCAGUGGUCAGAAACAUAAUGUAAAGAGAACAUUUACAAAUAAACACAUAAGGUACUAGCUUACAUAAAUUAGCCGUGUGUACUCUGUAUAACCAGUGAUCUGUGGAUGCUUAGUUUCUGACCAUCCACAGAUGGUGACAAAUGACAGGAGAAAGCAGCAUGACUUAUCUCAGUCUGGAGUCAGGCCACCACGAGCCUCCAGAAUAACUUAUGGCCUUUUUAGAGUCAGGAAUUCUGUUUGGUUUCUUUUAUUCUCUUCUAUCUCAAAGUGUUUCUGGACAUAACCUUUAUACGUUUUGAAGCUUUGGCAAAUAAAACUAGAUAGAUCAUUUUGAUCUAUUGAAAGGUU